rnacentral:ncRNA from 1 species
UGGCACAAAGGAUUAGUCCUAGCCUUAGUAAAUUUAUACAUGCAAACAUCCACCCACCAGUGAGAAUGACCUUCAGAUCGUUAUCAAUCAGAAGGAGCUGGUAUCAAGCAAACACCAAUGUAACUCACAACCUUGUGCACAACCACACCCCCACAAGAUACAGUAGUAACAAAAAUUUAGCUAUUGACAAAAGUUAGACUAAGUUAUACUAAGGAAGAUUGGUCAAUUUCGUGCCAGCCACCACGGUCAUACGAUUAACCCAAAUUAAUAAACACUGGUAUAAAGUAUGUUUAAGAACAAGAUAAAAUAAAGUUAAAUCUUACCUAAGCUGUAAAAAGCCAAAGAUAAAAUAAAAUGACUUUAACAACUCCGAAUACAUGAUAGCUAAGACACAAACUGGGAUUAGAUACCUCACUAUGCUUAGCCCUAAACCUUGAUAACUGCUAACAAAGUUAUUCACCAGAGAACUGCUAGCUAAAGCUUAAAACUCAAAGGAGUUAGUGGUGCUUUAUAUCCACCUAGAGGAGGCUGUCCUGUAAUCGAUAAAACCUGAUAAACCUUACCACUUGCUAAUUUAGUCUAUAUACUGCCUUCUUCAGCAAACCCUUAAAAGGCACUAACGUAAACUCGACAAUUACCAUAAAAAAGUUAGGUCAAGGUGUAGCCUAUGUGGUGGCCCAAGAUGAGCUACUCUUUCUACUUCAGAGUCUAGUAACGAACGUCAUCACGAAAAAAUGACUGAAGGAGGAUUUAGCAGUAAAUUAAAUAUAGCGAGCUUAAUUGAAUCAGGUCAGGAAGCAUGCACACACUGCCCGUCACUCUCCUCAAAUAUUUUUAACUACUUAAUCAUAUUUAAACUUAAGUAUGAGAGGAGACAAGUUGUAACAAGGUAAGCAUACUGGAAAGCUUGCUUGGAUAACUCAAAGU